GCCUGUUACAUUGAAAAGGGUAUAUGAUAAUUUUAAGAAACUUCACAGCACUGUUACUGCAAGCCACCUGGGACUCAAACCCACAAGCCCAGCUCCAGGGAAGGACUUGUGUAUUAGACCCCCUGAGAGAGGAUUAAAGCUGUGAGGAUGUAUGUUCCAGAUCGCUUUUCUCCAUUUCAAGAGUAAAACAGUCGGUGUGAAGAUACACCCCAGAACAUCAGCGAAACGCGGUCACCUGACACAUCCGGCGCACGUGAUUGGACGAAAAUGACACCGAUUACUUGGCGAAGAGCGCGGGAUGGCAGGCGGCCGCCGGAUCGCCGUCUGUUUCUGUGCAGGAACGCAGCAGCUCGCAGACGUUGAAUCGACAGAAAGAUGGAGACUGACAAUUAGCUAAAAAAAGCAGAUUUAAG